rnacentral:rRNA from 1 species
UGCGUAGACGGUUUCGUAAGUCGGGUGUGAAAUCCCCGGGCUCAACCUGGGAAUUGCAUUCGAAACUGCGAGGCUAGGGUACGGAAGAGGGAAGCGGAAUUUCUGGUGUAGCGGUGAAAUGCGUAGAUAUCAGAAGGAACAUCAGUGGCGAAAGCGGCUUCCUGGUCCAGUACCGACGUUCAGGCACGAAAGCGUGGGGAGCAAACAGGAUUAGAUACCCUGGUAGUCCACGCCAUAAACGAUGAGAACUAGACGUUGAGAGGGUUAGCCUCCCAGUGUCGCAGCUAACGCGCUAAGUUCUCCGCCUGGGGAGUACGGCCGCAAGGUUGAA